UAAGAGGAUGGAGUCGCAUGAUUUCGUUCUUUCCUUCGACCUGUGUGCGUUUGUCUUUUAUCUGAUGGCAAAAUGAUAAAUUUAUUCUUGACUUUCGUGUUGUUUCAAAAUUGCAACCACAUCGGUCAAUUCAGGUGAAAUCUCAUUCAUUCUGGUCGUAAAGAAAAGAAAAUGGUAUAACAAUGAAGAAAUAUGCAAGAUGUUGGGUGGAAGAGCGACCUCAGUUAAGAUACAUCAAAUCAUUGAGACCUUUGACAAGUGACGAUUGCUUGUAUUUGGGAGUCAACGUGUGAGGACGAAGACAAAGCUAUCUUGUACUCCAACAUCUAAAUUGUAAAAAAAAACAAUGAUUAGACAAACAGGCUUGAUAUCCCAUUUAUGUAAAAAAAUUCACAGAAAUAAUGUCUCCACCUACCAUUGCUUCCUCUUUCCUAUUCAAAAUUCUAAAUAAUCAACAAAUUAAAAUGUGUUUUAUGUCUUUCA